GGCCUGUUUUGACUCUAGCGAUUUGCCUAUUUCCUGUCUAUCCUCAUUCGUGCAAGCUAUUGAUUCUCUACUCAUGUGCUGGAGUGCUUCUUCUAAUUCUCUCCCUGCUUCUAGUUUGUGCCAGCAUCUUGUGUAUUUGGUUCGUCAUGGUCUAAUUGGCAACAAAUAUUUGCACAUUCUAAAUGGAAAUUAUUGGAAUGAAAGAAAUGAAAUCAAGAUGGACGUUUUCCUAGCUAUAUCAAAAGUUAGGCUUAGUUCAGUUUUUUAGCGAAUAUUUUAAAUGUUUGCAUACAAUUGGUUAUUUUAGUAUUAUUGAAGAUUUAUUCAUUUAUAAUUUUAUGUAAUAUUUGAAUUGAUUUAGUUUUUUAUUCAUUGAUUUUAGCAACAA